UACGUAGGUGGCAAGCGUUGUCCGGAAUUAUUGGGCGUAAAGCGCGCGCAGGCGGUUUCUUAAGUCUGAUGUGAAAGCCCACGGCUCAACCGUGGAGGGUCAUUGGAAACUGGGGAACUUGAGUGCAGAAGAGGAAAGUGGAAUUCCAAGUGUAGCGGUGAAAUGCGUAGAGAUUUGGAGGAACACCAGUGGCGAAGGCGACUGUCUGGUCUGUAACUGACACUGAGGCGCGAAAGCGUGGGGAGCGAACAGG
rnacentral:rRNA from 1 species